rnacentral:rRNA from 1 species
GAUGAACGCUGGCGGCGUGCCUAAUACAUGCAAGUCGAGCGAACAGACGAGGAGCUUGCUCCUCUGACGUUAGCGGCGGACGGGUGAGUAACACGUGGAUAACCUACCUAUAAUACUGGGAUAACUUCGGGAAACCGGAGCUAAUACCGGAUAAUAUAUUGAACCGCAUGGUUCAAUAGUGAAAGGCGGUUUUGCUGUCACUUAUAGAUGGAUCCGCGCCGCAUUAGCUAGUUGGUAAGGUAACGGCUUACCAAGGCAACGAUGCGUAGCCGACCUGAGAGGGUGAUCGGCCACACUGGAACUGAGACACGGUCCAGACUCCUACGGGAGGCAGCAGUAGGGAAUAUUCCGCAAUGGGCGCAAGCCUGACGGAGCAAUGCCGCGUGAGUGAUGAAGGUCUUCGGAUCGUAAAACUCUGUUAUUAGGGAAGAACAACUGUGUAAGUAACUAUGGACGUCUUGACGGUACCUAAUCAGAAAGCAACGGCUAACUACGUG